UGCGGGGUGGAGCAGUCCGGUAGCUCGUCGGGCUCAUAACCCGAAGGUCGUCAGUUCGAAUCUGGCCCCCGCUACCA
rnacentral:tRNA from 1 species